GAAGGCGGCGAGGUAGGUGUCGGCGAGCGCGGCGAGCGGGUCGCGCGAGUGCAGCUGCAGGAAGUCGGCGACGGCGGAGUGCGCGGCGCGGGUGCCCGCCAGCCCCAGCACGCGGCACAGCUCCGGCCUGACAACGCCUUUCUAGAGUGGGAGCGUGCGGUACGCACAGCAGCGGCAGCGCGUCGUCGCGGCGCAGCAGGUGCAGCAGCGCGGAGGAGUUGGCGGCGCGCGCGGCGGGCAGCAGGCGCAGCAGCGCGCGGGCGGCGGGCGCGGUGCCGCCGGCGCCGGGCUCCGAGCUGGCGAGUGAGGAGCUCUCUUCCCGCAGCGCCGCGCCCAGCUCCUGUCGAAACACAUUGUCGUUACUCUAAAUCGAACACUCGUUGUACAAAACGCUUUUCGUAGUUUCCCGAUUAUAGCUCAUACGAAUCCCGACCCCGCCAAGUACAGCGACAUCUCUCGGUAAAUUAGGUUAUUAUUUUGUAAAAACUACGCGUAGGUAUGUUGAGAUUAUAAAUAAAAUAAAUAACUAAAAA